CUGAGGCCUGCCUUGCAAGCUCAAGCGGAAGGACCUGAGUUUGAUCCUUGGUACCAAAAAAAAAAAAAAGAAAGAAAUGACCCUGAAGCCAGGUGUAGUGACACACGCUGGGGCCCUGAAUUCCAGCACUCAGAAGGCUGAGGCAAGAGGAUCACUGUGAGUUCAAGGACAGCCUGGGCUACAUACUGAGACAUUAAAGAAAUAGAAAAAGAAACAACCCUGAACAUUAUGAUUUCUGAUCAUUUGGCAGAAAGAUGUCAUUCUUUUUUUUUUUUGGUACCAGGGAUGGAACACAGGACCUUGCACUUUCGAGGCAGGGUCUCCCUAUGUAAUCCAGGCUGGCCUGGAACUCACUGUGUAGUUCAAACUGGCCUUGGAUUCACAGUGAUCUUCCUGUCUCAUCCUGCUCAUGCUCCCCAGGUCAGCACCCCCAC
rnacentral:lncRNA from 1 species